GCGAGUGUGGUGUAGUGGUUUGAAUGUUGGAUUGUGAUUCUGGAGACCAGGAUUCAAAUCCCUGCUCAGCCA